rnacentral:rRNA from 1 species
UGGGGAAUCUUGCGCAAUGGGCGGAAGCCUGACGCAGCAACGCCGCGUGAGGGAUGACGGCCUUCGGGUUGUAAACCUCUUUCGCGAUCGACGAAGCUCCAUCUUCUGGAUGGGGUGACGGUAGGUCGAGAAGAAGCACCGGCCAACUACGUGCCAGCAGCCGCGGUAAUACGUAGGGUGCGAGCGUUGUCCGGAAUUAUUGGGCGUAAAGAGCUCGUAGGCGGUGUGUCGCGUCGGCCGUGAAAACCUGGGGCUCAACUCUGGGCGUGCGGUCGAUACGGGCAUCACUAGAGUUCGGCAGGGGAGACUGGAAUUCCUGGUGUAGCGGUGAAAUGCGCAGAUAUCAGGAGGAACACCGGUGGCGAAGGCGGGUCUCUGGGCCGAUACUGACGCUGAGGAGCGAAAGCAUGGGUAGCGAACA